rnacentral:sRNA from 1 species
UGUCGAACAACUCACCUGGUCCCGGGUC